rnacentral:rRNA from 1 species
CCCGGUGGCUAUGGCCAAGGGGCCACACCCGUUCCCAUCUCUAACAGGUCAGUUAAGCCCUUCUGCGCCGAUGGUACUGCCUGGGCAGUCCCGCUAAAGCGGGAUGGGAAGUAGGACGCCGCCGGGA